rnacentral:rRNA from 1 species
GCAAGUCGAACGCUAUUUAAAGAGUGGCGCACGGGUGAGUAACGCGUGGGAACCUGCCUUUUUCUGCGGGAUAACGGUUGGAAACGACCGCUAAUACCGCAUACGCCCUACGGGGGAAAGGUCCGCCGGCAAAAGAGGGGCCCGCGUCUGAUUAGCUUGUUGGUAGGGUAAUGGCCUACCAAGGCGACGAUCAGUAGCUGGUCUGAGAGGGUGAUC